rnacentral:rRNA from 1 species
ACUCAAAGGAAUUGACGGGGGCCCGCACAAGCAGCGGAGCAUGUGGUUUAAUUCGAAGCAACGCGAAGAACCUUACCAGGACUUGACAUCGCUUGAAUAACCUAGAGAUAGGUGAAGCUCUUCGGAGCAAGUAGACAGGUGGUGCAUGGUUGUCGUCAGCUCGUGUCGUGAGAUGUUGGGUUAAGUCCCGCAACGAGCGCAACCCUUGUUGUUAGUUGCUAACAUUAAGUUGAGCACUCUAAUGAGACUGCCGGGGAUAACUCGGAGGAAGGUGGGGAUGACGUCAAAUCAUCAUGCCCCUUAUGUCCUGGGCAACACACGUGCUACAAUGGCUAAUACAAAGUGACGCGAUGCCGUAAGGUGGAGCAAAUCACCAAAAAUAGUCCCAGUUCGGAUUGAGGGCUGAAACUCGCCCUCAUGAAGCUGGAGUUGCUAGUAAUCGCGAAUCAGAAUGUCGCGGUGAAUACGUUCCCGGGCCUUGUACACACCGCCCGU